rnacentral:rRNA from 1 species
UACAGAGGGGGCAAGCGUUGUUCGGAAUUACUGGGCGUAAAGGGCGCGUAGGCGGCCUGCUAAGUCGAACGUGAAAUCCCUGGGCUCAACCCAGGAACUGCGUCCGAUACUGGUUGGCUUGAAUCCGGGAGAGGGAUGUGGAAUUCCAGGUGUAGCGGUGAAAUGCGUAGAUAUCAAGAGGAACACCUGAGGCGAAGGCGGGUUGCUAGGCUGACACUGACGCUGAAGCGCGAAAGCUAGGGUAGCAAACGGG